GGAAUUCGCCCUUACGGCUCAGUAACACGUAGUCAACAUGCCCAGGGGACGUGGAUAACCUCGGGAAACUGAGGAUAAACCACGAUAGGUCAUCACUUCUGGAAUGGGUAAUGACUUAAAUCUAUAUGGCCCCUGGAUUGGACUGCGGCCGAUCAGGCUGUUGGUGAGGUAAUGGCCCACCAAACCUGUAACCGGUACGGGCUCUGAGAGGAGGAGCCCGGAGAUGGGCACUGAGACAAGGGCCCAGGCCCUAUGGGGCGCAGCAGGCGCGAAACCUCUGCAAUAGGCGAAAGCUUGACAGGGUUACUCUGAGUGAUUUCCGUUAAGGAGAUCUUUUGGCACCUCUAAAAAUGGUGCAGAAUAAGGGGUGGCAAGUCUGGUGUCAGCCGCCGCGGUAAUACCAGCACCCCGAGUGGUCGGGACGUUUAUUGGGCCUAAAGCAUCCGUAGCCGGUUCUACAAGUCUUCCGUUAAAUCCACCUGCUUAACAGAUGGGCUGCGGAAGAUACUAUAGAGCUAGGAGGCGGGAGAGGCAAGCGGUACUCGAUGGGUAGGGGUAAAAUCCGUUGAUCCAUUGAAGACCACCAGUGGCGAAGGCGGCUUGCCAGAACGCGCUCGACGGUGAGGGAUGAAAGCUGGGGGAGCAAACCGGAUUAGAUACCCGGGUAGUCCCAGCUGUAAACGAUGCAGACUCGGUGAUGAGUUGGCUUAUUGCUAACUCAGUGCCGCAGGGAAGCCGUUAAGUUUGCCGCCUGGGGAGUACGGUCGCAAGACUGAAACUUAAAGGAAUUGGC
rnacentral:rRNA from 1 species